AUGUGCACAAUUGGUUGUACCCUGCAGUCUAUGGAGUUAUCGAUUUGGAAACUACUAAAAGUUGGGUGUGAUUAUUGGAGAAGAUUGGUGAUGCUAUUGGCCUCCCCUGGUCUAGCUAUAUAUUCAAAAGCAGGAAAAUGGAUUGACACUGCAAUUGAACAAGUAUUUGGGUAUGUAGAACAUAGGGAAUGCAUGCGCCUAACAGCCAAGCAAUGGCCACUCAAAGCAAAAAGAGUUGAAACCGUGAAGUCUCUAAAAACAUCGCCUAUCAUUUAUGUAUUGCACCUCUUCAUGUGUAUGCUAUUCUAUUUAGAGACUUGCUUGUGUGAACAACAUAUUUUGGUUGUGGUAUUUGGGUUCUGGAUGAUGUAA
rnacentral:rRNA from 1 species